UUCCUUCUUCGACAUCAACGGAAGGAAGCUUCUCUUCUCUUAUUGAUCUGUGUUGAAAGGUUAGCAAUUUCUCAAUCAAAUCUUAAUCUCUCAUCUCUUCUCCAAAUCCCCAAAUCGAGAGAUUUUAAACUGGAACGUUAGCCGAGAGAUAUUGAACCAAAAAGUUGCAACACCCAAAUUAACGCUGAGAUUUCGAAUUUUCCAGAAAUGCAUACGAACAUUCGCUCUCUAAGAGCCGAUUCCUGUUCUCGAAGCAUCAACAAGGAACAAGCCUGGA